rnacentral:rRNA from 1 species
AUAUACGACCGUACCGCAAACCGACACUGGUGCGCGAGAUGAGUAUUCUAAGGCGCUUGAGAGAACUCAGGAGAAGGAACUCGGCAAAUUGACACCGUAACUUCGGAAGAAGGUGUGCCCUAUUAGUGUGAAGUGAACAACGGAGCAUGAAUGGGUUGCAAAAAAUCGGUGGCUGCGACUGUUUAUUAAAAACACAGCACUCUGCAAACACGAAAGUGGACGUAUAGGGUGUGACGCCUGCCCGGUGCUGGAAGAUUAAAUGAUGGGGUGCAAGCUCUUGAUUGAAGUCCCAGUAAACGGCGGCCGUAACCAUAACGGUCCUAAGGUAGCGAAAUUCCUUGUCGGGUAAGUUCCGACCUGCACGAAUGGCGUAACGAUGGCCACACUGUCUCCUCCUGAGACUCAGCGAAGUUGAAAUGUUUGUGAUGAUGCAAUCUCCCCGCGGAAAGACGGAAAGACCCCAUGAACCUUUACUGUAGCUUUGUAUUGGACUUUGAACAGAUCUGUGUAGGAUAGGUGGGAGGCUUUGAAGCAGGGUCGCUAGAUCUUGUGGAGCCAACGUUGAAAUACCACCCUGGUGUGUUUGAGGUUCUAACCUAGGUCCAUUAUCUGGAUCGGGGACAGUGCAUGGUAGGCAGUUUGACUGGGGCGGUCUCCUCCCAAAGCGUAACGGAGGAGUUCGAAGGUACGCUAGUUACGGUCGGACAUCGUGACGAUAGUGCAAUGGCAUAAGCGUGCUUAACUGCGAGACUGACAAGUCGAGCAGAUGCGAAAGCAGGACAUAGUGAUCCGGUGGUUCUGUAUGGAAGGGCCAUCGCUCAACGGAUAAAAGGUACUCUGGGGAUAACAGGCUGAUACCGCCCAAGAGUUCAUAUCGACGGCGGUGUUUGGCACCUCGAUGUCGGCUCAUCUCAUCCUGGGGCUGUAGCCGGUCCCAAGGGUAUGGCUGUUCGCCAUUUAAAGAGGUACGUGAGCUGGGUUUAAAACGUCGUGAGACAGUUUGGUCCCUAUCUUCCGUGGGCGCUGCAGAUUUGAGGAAGCCUGCUCCUAGUACGAGAGGACCGGAGUGGACACACCUCUGGUGUAUCGGUUGUCACGCCAGUGGCAUUGCCGAGUAGCUAAGUGUGGAAGAGAUAACCGCUGAAAGCAUCUAAGCGGGAAACUCGUUUCAAGAUGAGAUCUGCCGGGGCCUUGAGCCCCCUGAAGAGUCGUUCAAGACCAGGACGUUGAUAGGUCAGGUGUGGAAGUGAUG